AAGAGAAGAGCAUGUUAAGAUAGCCAAGGAGACUGGCUGAAACCAAAGCAAAAAGGCCACUCAUUUUUAAAUGGCGUAAUCAAACACCCUUUUAAAAUAAAUGGAGCACGCAAAUCAUCCUUGGCUACUAAACAAAUAUGACUCUCCUCU
rnacentral:pre_miRNA from 1 species